AUGAACGCUGGCGGCGUGCCUCAUCCAUGCCCGUCGAGCGAACAGAUGAGGAGCUUGCUCCUCUGACGUUAGCGGCGGACGGGUGAGUAACACGUGGAUAACCUACCUAUAAGACUGGGAUAACUUCGGGAAACCGGAGCUAAUACCGGAUAAUAUAUUGAACCGCAUGGUUCAAUAGUGAAAGACGGUUUUGCUGUCACUUAUAGAUGGAUCCGCGCCGCAUUAGCUAGUUGGUAAGGUAACGGCUUACCAAGGCAACGAUGCGUAGCCGACCUGAGAGGGUGAUCGGCCACACUGGAACUGAGACACGGUCCAGACUCCUACGGGAGGCAGCAGUAGGGAAUCUUCCGCAAUGGGCGAAAGCCUGACGGAGCAACGCCGCGUGAGUGAUGAAGGUCUUCGGAUCGUAAAACUCUGUUAUUAGGGAAGAACAAAUGUGUAAGUAACUAUGCACGUCUUGACGGUACCUAAUCAGAAAGCCACGGCUAACUACGUG
rnacentral:rRNA from 1 species